rnacentral:lncRNA from 1 species
UUAAUCAAGAAACCAAGGAAGAGCAAGAAACUGAGGAAGAGAAAGAAGACCCAUAAUUUCCCCAGUAUUUCCAGAGAUAACCCUGGAUUUAUCUUUAAAGCAUUCAACAUCCAACCCCCCUCUUCUGUUUUCCCUUUGCUUAGCACCCAGCUCUCUGUGUUGAGUGUGAUGGGUGACCUUAUUAAAGAAAGACAUCAUCAGAAAAAGUUUCCUGACAGCGUCCAUGUUCUUAUGUUUUGGAGCAAAGAGGAAGAAUUGCAACUUGUCACUGGCACAGAAGAGGAAGAAAACAUGACACUCUUGAUUCCGGUGGUGAGUGAAAUUAUGUAGUGCCUGUUUACAGCAAUGUUCUAGGUCUGACGAAGCCAAAUUCUAGAAGAAGUCAAGGUUAUUCCUAGUUUCUCUCCAGCAACAGGAAUGUUCAUCUGAUACGAUAUGAUCUCUCUUUCCCAUCUACAAUGCACGAUGGAAUCCUCUUUAGCCGUAUUUUAAAGGUAUUAGUGAAAGCAUGAAGACAACUGGAAAAAUUGUGAAGAGAAAGUGCCAAACCAAAUGAAGUAACUUCUUUAGAAACAUUCUUAAGCAAAGCUUCAAGUGCAACUCAGGACAUCAUGUAGGGGAAAUAAGAUACUGGACAGAAGAUAAGUUUUCUUCUGAAACAUCAAAUGAGAUGGUGAAUCAGCAAGAUACAGAAAUGCACAAAUAUUUAAGGCAGGAGGUGCUGCAAAGUAGUCUCUGUGAAAAUUAUAUAGCUAUUUACUUUUAUACUUUCUGAAUGAAAAUAACUUAAGGUCUUUUAAUACAGAUGCACAAAUAAUUUUCUGGUAAUUGUAUUUACCUAUGAAUAGUAGUUUCAGAGCAUGUUCCAUUGUUAAAGAUAGGGAUCAAUUGCUGCUUACCAAGCAAGUUUUGAUUUUUGAAAUUUAUAUCUUAUUUAUUUAUAAAAUUCUGGCUUGAUUAGGAUGUAAAAGGAUUUUCUUUUUUCCCCCAGACAAAAAUGUCAGAAAAGAAAAAAUAAAAUACAGACUAUUUAUUUAUUUAUUCAUUUCAAAAGCAUAAGUAUUUUAUUUUCCUGAGAGGUAUUGCUUUGUGAGGUUCCAGUCAGAGGCAUGACUGAAGAGAGAUGAAAUUCUGGAUUGACUGAAGGAUGUUGAUAAAAUGCAACCAGUUCUAUGACAUGAGGUCCAAACAGCUUUGUAUCACUAGAUGCCUGAAACAAGUAAUAAAGACAAACUAAGAAAAGGAUAGGAAGUGCAUACAAAAUAAGAUUGACCAAAACCAAAGCAAGCUCCCUCUGGAUUACUGGAGUUUGUGUUGUUGUUGUUGUUGUUGUUGUUGUUUU